rnacentral:lncRNA from 1 species
AGCCAGACAGCCGCUGACACACGCGAAUAGACAGUCAGACGCUCGUGUACCGGCACCGUUGCUUACCGGUCACCACCCGCGCCGCGGCUGGCCGGGAAGGAUUCCGGCUCGGCUCGUCCUCGUCUCAACUUCGCUCGCGUCCCCGUGGGCGAUCACAUGCUCUGCCCAUCCUCCUCCUCCAUCACAAUCCCAGAUCCCCCACCCCCCACCACCUCAUAAAGACCAGAACCAAACCCAAAAGCAACCAACACCAGCGCAGCGCGGCGCGGCGCGGCGCAGGCACGCACGGCAGCGGCGGC